GAUGAACGCUGGCGGCGUGCCUAAUACAUGCAAGUCGAGCGAACAGACGAGGAGCUUGCUCCUCUGACGUUAGCGGCGGACGGGUGAGUAACACGUGGAUAACCUACCUAUAAGACUGGGAUAACUUCGGGAAACCGGAGCUAAUACCGGAUAAUAUAUUGAACCGCAUGGUUCAAUAGUGAAAGACGGUUUUGCUGUCACUUAUAGAUGGAUCCGCGCCGCAUUAGCUAGUUGGUAAGGUAACGGCUUACCAAGGCAACGAUGCGUAGCCGACCUGAGAGUGUGAUCGGCCACACUGGAACUGAGACACGGUCCAGACUCCUACGGGAGGCAGCAGUAGGGAAUCUUCCGCAAUGGGCGAAAGCCUGACGGAACAACGCCGCGUGAGUGAUGAAGGUCUUCGGAUCGUAAAACUCUGUUAUUAGGGAAGAACAAAUGUGUAAGUAACUAUGCACGUCUUGACGGUACCUAAUCAGAAAGCCACGGCUAACUACGUG
rnacentral:rRNA from 1 species